GGGGCCAAAACCAAGCAUCCUGCUUUAUGACUCGCUCCAGCUGGGAGUAAAUGACGUAGCCAAACCUGAGUCAAUCCGCGCGCAGCCUCCGUUAAUCCGCUCAAACGGCGCGAGCUGCUGCUUCACCUCCACUGAGCGGGAAAAAUCUCUGAGAGGAAUUACAACAUGGCGAGCUGAAGGACUUCACUUCGCUCUCAGUUGGUUAAUUACCUCGGAAGUUGGGCCUGUCCUGCUAAGGGUGGUGAAUGGUCAGUUGUAGUUUUGAAGAACGACGUUUACAAGCGACGCUUAAUUCGGCUGUGAGCACUUAGGUUAGCACUUGCUGCGCGCUGUGCUGAAAGAAGCUUCUCCGACCGACGCUGCUUUUCCCCCUCUCUAAUCAACUUCCUCACGCGGUUUUGUUCAGGAGAAUGAGGUGGCUUUGUACUUUGUGUGAAGAAGCUGGAGCGAGAAACUGACACGGUUUGCUUUUUCCACUUUUUAAAGGGUUUUUUUAAGAGCAGCUCUGAUAGACGAGUGAUAAACGCGGCGGGUUUGAACUGAAGCGCUUCUGAGUUGUCGCUAUGAUCACUUUGGCUGUUGGACUCCUCUACGUUUACGCGCUGGGCAGCGGUAGGGUGGCGCGCGCCAGCGCUCAGGCGAAGGGCAGCCGAUUCGUGUGCACGGCGGUGCCCCCGGGCGCGGACCUCAGCUGCCCGGUGGAGACCACGAACCGCGUGCAGAGCUCGAGCCCGCAGGAGGACGAGUUCAGGAGCACGAUCAUCCAGCUGCGCGAAACCGUCCUGCAGCAGAAGGAGACCAUCGUGAGCCAGCAGGGCACCAUCAAGGAGCUCAACGCCAAACUCUCCCGCUGCGAGGCCGCCGCUCAGGACGCGCGCGACAGCAAGGCGCGAGGAGGCGCGCGCCGGAAGGACUACGGGAAAAACACGAUGGGGGACCUGCCGCGCGACCCCACUGAGACCAUCGAGCAGCUGGGGAAGACCAUGCAGAGUCUAAAGGACCGGCUGGAGAACUUGGAGCAGCAGCAGCUGCGUGCCAACGUGUCAGGUGCGGCUUUCCCCAAUGAGUUGCGCGACCUGCUGAAGCGGCGGCUUGGUGACCUAGAGAGCCAGCUCCUGAGGAGAGUGGCUGAGCUGGAGGAGGAGAAGAGCCAGCUUUACAAUGAGACGGCAGCCCACCGCCAGCGCACAGAGAACACCCUCAACUCGCUGCUGGAGAGGAUCACUGAGCUGGAGCGAAGUAACAGUGCGUUUAAAUCUCCAGAGGACUUCAAGAUAUCUCUGCCUCUGCGCACAAAUUACCUGUACGGCCGCAUCAAGAAGAGUCUACCAGAGAUGUACGCCUUUACCGUGUGCAUGUGGCUCAAGUCUAGCGCUAGUCCUGGCAUUGGAACUCCUUUCUCCUAUGGUGUCCCUGGACAGGCCAAUGAGAUUGUACUGAUAGAAUGGGGAAAUAACCCCAUCGAGCUACUUGUCAAUGACAAGGUAGCUCAGCUACCUCUGUCUGUGAGCGAUGGCCGGUGGCAUCAUAUCUGCAUCACCUGGACAACCAGAGAUGGCUUCUGGGAGGCCUAUCAGGAUGGAGAGAGGUUAGGCACUGGGGAGAACCUGGCCCCGUGGCACCCAAUUAAACCUGGAGGAGUGAUCAUUCUAGGUCAAGAACAGGACAUUGUUGGAGGGAGGUUUGAUGCUACGCAAGCUUUUGUUGGAGAACUGAGCCACUUCAACAUGUGGGAUCGAGUUUUGCGACCGAUAGACAUCUCAGGCAUGGCCAACUGCUCGGCCUACAUGCCUGGCAAUGUCGUGCCCUGGAUAGAUGGCAACGUAGAGGUGUUUGGAGGAGCCACAAAAGCAGCCCUGGAGAUUUGUGAGGACCGACUCUUUGACUCGUAAGAUCAAGUUUGCUCUUCUGGAUAUUUUUCUGAGGUAAAACACCUCAUCAUGCUGCUUCUGGACUGUCAAGGAGGGACACGAUAAUGUGAUGAAACAGUAUUCACUGUGCUUACAAGCAUUUUCUCUGGCUGGUUUCUGCUUCUUUCAGCUGUUUCUGUUUUUGUUAAGGUUUUAAUGUCAGCAAGGUCAAUGAUUGAAGUAAUCGUGAUAUGUGAUGUUUUAAAAAAAACUCAGCUUGCACAUUCAAGGUUAAGAAUACUUGAAUACUCUAGCUUGUCCAAGCUUCGGUCUCUUGUUGAUGUUAGGUAUGCUUUUGUGUUGCACAUGUCCUUCAGAAUCCUGGGUUCAUUCAAAAAACUUUAAGAACAGCGUGGACUGGAUUGUGACGUCCCAACUGCAUGAAGGGUUACUUAAUUUAGUUUUGAGUCCAAUAUACACAUUAAAAGAAACCUUUUAAAACACAUUCAUUAAACUGACUGAACCUAAAAUAGGGCUUGAGCAGAAAGACUGAGCUGUCUAUAACAUGUGAAUGAACAGGUCUAUUCAAGCAGAUGUCUGCUCACUCAAAGGUGACUAUGUGCGCAAGUUUUGCGAGUGUGUGUGGGUGUGUGGGUGGGUGGGUUAGCUUGCAUGUGGACGUUCAGGAGAUUAGUAGAGGAGAACGUUCACAUUCUUGCAAAUCUACUCUAAUGCUGCUCCCCUUGAGCAGCUGCCAUCUCCAGCAGAUUUGCCGCACAGCCGGGUGAGGUUAAAGGCAAAACAGCAAAGCUGCCAAGGACUGGCCUACAAUUCACAUUGGCCCAUGUCAGCGGGAAGCAGCUGGGAGGAGGGAGGCCUUAAAGAGAUCCAGCUCAUUUGGCUUAAUAGACCAUUGAAAGAAUGUUUAAUCGUCAUUUGUCUUGUAAAGUACUAGCUUUAUCAAUUACAGAAGUAGACAGGCACUGCUGAAUUUUUGAUACACUUUUGUAAAUGCGUUUUGUCAAGGCCAGGGAGAUGACCCUGACUUUAAUUAGCUAAACUGUGUGUAGGAUCAUGAGGAUUUUACAUUUACAAUACUUGUUUAAUGAUGCAUGUACAUAACAAGAGUUUCUAUUUCAGAACACAUUGAGACCCUAGCACAAAGCACUCAAAAACAAAACAAAAUAAGCUUUUUCAAUAAGGAUGUGAAAGACAUAUUGAUAGAUACUGAUGACGGCGCUGAUCCUGCGUGUGUUCUCUACAUGUUUGACGACAGCAAGGUUGAAUGCAUUAUCCUCUUGCAGUCUGAGAGAGGAACUUGUGUUAUUUUUGUACAGAACCCAUUGGUACUUGGUUAUUUUAGAUUAUUUAUGGAAAGUGUCCAGUAAUGUUUGAGUAAAGCAAUGCAGUAGCUGCAUUACGUGAGAUUUUUAUGUAUACCAAGCUUUCAGUGCUGUUUUGUACGUUUUCAUGCCCGAAUACACCACUAUGCCUGUGAGUCUUAUUGUGUCUAACUGCGUUAAAUAUGUAGGAUCCAGCCUGGUUUUGUUAGGCAUUUCUAGACUCUAGAGUGGAAACGGUAAGAUUGCAGUCUCACAGGUUUUCUGUAGUGCGCACUAUUCUUAAACACACAGUACCCACUAAUUAGGGAGUAAGUUGUUUCCCUUGUUGCCACUUACUGGUAUGUGUCCUUUUAAGAAUGAAAUCAUACCAGGAUGAAGUUUACUUCUUGGCUUUAACCCUUAGAAGUCAAGUUGCUACAAUUACAUGUUAAAACAUAAUUAUGUAAUUGCAUAUUUCCCUGCAUGGUAUGUUUACAUUCAGUGUACAUUCUCUUUUAACAGGUUUGAGUCAAGUUCAAGUCAUGAUACAUUAUACAACGGUUAGUUUUCACUAUAACUGUAGAUUUUCCCUGAGUGUUACUUGCAAAGUAAUGACUCAAGCUCAAACUAGGUUUUUAUUUUAGCACAUGGGGAAAAAAAAGAAAAUUAAUACAUGAAAUAACUUGAAAGAUAAUAUUUAACCUGCAGCCCAUUUGGUCAGAUUGUGAAAAAGACUGGGGCAACAAAUUCCGAACCUGUCAUUGCCCCUUAGCUUUCGAGUUGGCAGCUAUGAUGGUGGAACAAGUAAACAAAACUGGUAUACAAUUUAUCAAACAAGAUGGGCUAUGAAAUGCCUUUCAGGCUGUUUGUAAUAUAGAUAUUUAGAUUAAUCUGGCAAAUAUUGGUAACCUGAUUUGACCCUGAUAUUGCUGAUACAUGCCCCUACUGUUUGGUGAAAAUUUUGGUGAAAACUGCCAAAAUUUAAGCACAUUUGAUGCAAUGUUUAGAGUUUCAUUGUUUUACUUUUUGUUUAGCAGAGCUGUUGUAGAAAAAGUACUCAACUUUGUGUUUUAUCAUGAAUAUCACGGCUUUGGUGAUCUACAGUUCUCACUGCAUGCACAAAAUUACAGCCAUGAUGUUAUUUCUUCUAUUACUUAAAUGUAUCCUCUUCUAAGUAUGAACACAAAUGUGGUAUCAGUUGAACACUUCACACUUCCUGCUUGUUUCCUCAAGCUACAAUGGAGAAAUAACUUGUACUGAAUUACACCAUACUUUAGUUUUUGUCAGCUUUAACUGUGACUUCUGAGGGUUAAGAGUGAGAGUAUACUGAGAUGAAGCAGCAGCACUGGUAUGUCCGGUAUUUCUGAUUGCUGAAUGUGCAUUCAUUUUCAUUUAACUGUGAAUUCAAAUUAUUUACUGUCAUUAUCUGUGUACCUACAGGAAAACAAUCUCUAAUGUAAUGCUUUGUGUAUUUUUAUCUGUUCUGACAAAAAAGCAACUAGUUUGAAUUUUUUUGCUCAAAAAAAACUGAAUGGCCUUUUCUGAGCACCAACUGUGCUUUCUUGGUUUGUUGAAGAGUCCAUCUUUAAAUACAACCAAUUAAUCUACUGAGGGUAGAGUGCGACAUGGAUGGAUUGAGGAAAAUGGAUGAAAUGAAAAUGUUCUUGAUUUGGAAUCAUUCUCUCUUUCCUCGUAUGGAUCACCAUGCACAGCUCAAUGUGGAGCAUUCUUUCUAAAUCAGAGAAAUCACCAGUAACGUGGUCUGCUUCCUGUCGGACACUUCCUGUCCUGUAUAUGAAGAGGAUAUUUGAUCAGUUGUCAAGACUGCAGACAUUAUCAGACUGUUUUUAUCUCCCUAUGAUGUCCAAUAGAUCUCUGCUCAGAUUGCAUAAGAGAGGAUUGCAGGGUUUUUUUCCAAGAAAACUUUUUUUGGGUUGUUUAUUUGUGCAUUUUAUAGCAAGACAAAUCGCUUUUUGUUGAUUGCACUAUAGGAACCUUGACUGGACAUAAAUAGCGUUUUUUCCUUAUCUCCUCUGUUGUGGAUUAAAAUGUUACCAACAGGGCAAAAUCCUCUGUCUGGCAGGGCUCCAUGUGGAAAUGAAAAAAAAAUCUGUGGAUUAUGAGCUGUUUAGUGCUUUUAAGUAUGUGGUUUGUACUUUUCUGAAGCUUUCUCUUGUAAUUUUCACCGUCAUGCUCAUCUCUAUCAUGGAUUCCUAGCUUGCUUUCCCCUCCAGCGUCACAUUAAUUGCUUUGUCACCUGAGUCCCGCUUGUGUCAAUUAGCAGACGACAAUAAAAAUGCUUUGACAAGCAAUUAUUCUGGAUGUAGCAGAGACCCGGUGGGGUACAGACGGUCUAAAUGAGAAAUGAUUUUUCCUGCAGUGGGGGGGUGCAACUCUAAAACUCUCAGAUAUGCUUCUUAACUACACUCAAAUAUCCAACAGUCACCAAUUUGACUAAAGCUAGACUUUUAAAAAUAGAAGUGUCAGAGAGGGUUCUUUGGAGCGAUGCUGCAGAAGAACUGCUUUUGUUUCUUGAAGGGCCCACAUCCUACAUUUUCCCCCAAAAUCCACUUAGAAUUAGUGUGAUUUUAUGUGAAAACAGUGAUAAUACAUUUUUACACUUUUUUUUCUUCAAGAUUGUUAUGUGAAAAUGAGGCUGAGACACUUUAAAAACUUCAGCAUUAAUGGUAAACUCAAAGCUAAACUGCUGUAGGCUGAAUAGGCAGGUAUAUGCAAAUAUGUGUUUUUUUGACAGCAUCACAAAAACAAUGAAUUCAAAUUGGGCUGCAUAACAGAUUAGUUUUCAUAUUUGCACUGGUACAUUUUGAAAGUUUACAUAAUACAUGAAACUUUUAAUUCAACAAGGCAAAGACAAUUCCAUUUUUCCAUGACAUUGGCCCUUUUCGAGAGCAAUGCUAAACUAAUUGCUAAAAUGGUCAGUUAUUUAAAGAUACAGUUGGAGCACCACACAAGAUAAAUCCAUUAAAACCACAUGUCCAAAACAAAAACCAUUUAGAAACCUUUAUUUGUAAGAGUGUAAACUGUAACCUCUUAAAAAUGGGCUUCUGUAAAGAUUCUUUAGUAAAGACAUCGGUUAUAUAGAGAACUAUGUUGGCUCAAAGAACCAUUUGAAUGCAGAAAGAUUCUGUUCCAAGUUAUUUGUUCUUUGACCUAAGAAAACGGUUUUAUCUAGCACCAAAGAGGGUUCCACUAUCUUUUCAAGUAAUAGAACCUUCUAUUUGUACUAUAUAGAACCUUGUUUGCUAAGCUGUGGUGCACUUGAAUUACCCAGCACUUACUAUAUUAACCUCAUAUCCCCAAAGCUCAGUAUGUAAAUCCAUCAUGUAAAAGGAUAGUUCUUUUAAUUAUGCUUCUUCAAAUUAACUUUUUUAAGGUAAUGGUUAUUCUGCUUGAGUAGAGUUUUUAUAGCCUUACAGUGCUGAUUCAGUGGUACGAUUCAACCCUGCAAGAGUCAUGGCUUUGCAUAUAAUUACCCUGAAAUAAAAAGAAACAUAAAUAUCACAUUUUACUCCAUUUGGAUUCCCUCACUGGGACCUGAACUUGCAGGAAGAACAUGAUUUCUUACUGUUGCCUAGGGUUGCAUUCAACUUUGAGAAGCGGAGCGUAUCCGAGUAUGAAGCAGUAAUUAGAAGGCACCAUUUCAGUAUCUAGUCAUUAGCGAGAGGCCAUGCUACACUGUAAGGGGAGAAUUUAAAUGCCACUAUUUUCAACAUUGCCUUCAGACAGAAGGUUCUGGAAAGAGGCUUCGUGACUGAGAAGUCACCAAACUAGCGGCUGCUUCUUUAUAAUUACGUUUAGAGAAAGAAGCCUUGAAUACAAGGAUGUUCUCUUAUAGGGUAUGCUCACAUGAUCCUCUAGCUUUCUCUCAAAUUCCAUGAAGGAUUGCUCAAACCCCCCUUUAGCCAAACUGUGUUCAUUAAAUUAUGAUAAUAAAGAGUGCUGGAGCCUCCCAA